rnacentral:rRNA from 1 species
GAUUUCUGGUUUGUCCCAUACGGCCGGCCACGGUUUCGUGUGUUAGUGCUGUGUGGACUGACCAUCCUUCCCAGACUCGGAUCGUCGGCUUCAUUGCUGGCGAUCCGGACUGGGAUCGUUUACUUUGAAAAAAUUAGAGUGUUUCAAGCAGGCUGUACGCUAUGAAUACAUUAGCAUGGAAUAAUAAUUUAGGACUUCGGUUCUAUUUUGUUGGUUUCUAGGACGGAAGUAAUGAUUGAUAGGGAUAGUUGGGGGUGCUAGUAUUCAGCGGCCAGAGGUGAAAUUCUUGGAUUCGCUGAAGACUAACUUAUGCGAAAGCAUU